AGUGAACGCUGGCGGUAGGCCUAACACAUGCAAGUCGAACGGCAGCACAGUAAGAGCUUGCUCUUACGGGUGGCGAGUGGCGGACGGGUGAGGAAUACAUCGGAAUCUACUUUUUCGUGGGGGAUAACGUAGGGAAACUUACGCUAAUACCGCAUACGACCUACGGGUGAAAGCAGGGGAUCUUCGGACCUUGCGCGAUUGAAUGAGCCGAUGUCGGAUUAGCUAGUUGGCGGGGUAAAGGCCCACCAAGGCGACGAUCCGUAGCUGGUCUGAGAGGAUGAUCGGCCACACUGGAACUGAGACACGGUCCAGACUCCUACGGGAGGCAGCAGUGGGGAAUAUUGGAUAAUGGGCGCAAGCCUGAUCCAGCCAUACCGCGUGGGUGAAGAAGGCCUUCGGGUUGUAAAGCCCUUUUGUUGGGAAAGAAAAGCAGCAGGUUAAUACCCCGCUGUUCUGACGGUACCCAAAGAAUAAGCACCGGCUAACUUCGUG
rnacentral:rRNA from 1 species